AUUGAACGCUGGCGGCAGGCCUAACACAUGCAAGUCGAACGGUAACAGGAAGCAGCUUGCUGCUUUGCUGACGAGUGGCGGACGGGUGAGUAAUGUCUGGGAAACUGCCUGAUGGAGGGGGAUAACUACUGGAAACGGUAGCUAAUACCGCAUAACGUCGCAAGACCAAAGAGGGGGACCUUAGGGCCUCUUGCCAUCGGAUGUGCCCAGAUGGGAUUAGCUAGUAGGUGGGGUAACGGCUCACCUAGGCGACGAUCCCUAGCUGGUCUGAGAGGAUGACCAGCCACACUGGAACUGAGACACGGUCCAGACUCCUACGGGAGGCAGCAGUGGGGAAUAUUGCACAAUGGGCGCAAGCCUGAUGCAGCCAUGCCGCGUGUAUGAAGAAGGCCUUCGGGUUGUAAAGUACUUUCAGCGGGGAGGAAGGGAGUAAAGUUAAUACCUUUGCUCAUUGACGUUACCCGCAGAGGAAGCACCGGCUAACUCCGUG
rnacentral:rRNA from 1 species